rnacentral:lncRNA from 1 species
CUGCUUUAAGAAACUAAUUCCUACUAUAUUUAGGCUAGUUGUUUGGAAAGCUAUAAAUAGGAGAGUUAUUUAGAAUGUUUUUAGAAUUAGAAAACACUAAGUUAGCAUUAGUUCAUCUUUAUAACUUGUUCUUGAGAGAUCAAGAUCAAGAGAUAUGCAAGCAAGAGUCAAGGAGCAAUCAACAUGGGGAUUAGGGCAUCAAAGAUUGAGAAGUUUUUCUUACUUUAUUCUCCAAAAUUGUAUUUGUUGCUUGAAUUUUUGGAUUUAUCAAUGGUUUUAUCUAUGUUUAUGUUGAAUUAAUUUGUCUCUAGGGCUAAAGUUUUAUGAAAGAGUAUUGUUUAUUUAUCCUAGUUAAAUUCUUUUCUUUUGCCUUAAUUUAUUUAACUUGUUUUAACUAGAUAUUUAUGUUUAGAUAUGCUUUUAGGAUCUG